GACGAACGCUGGCGGCGUGCUUAACACAUGCAAGUCGAACGAAGUGGCGAACGGGUGAGUAACGCGUAAUCAACCUGCCCAUCUGAGGGUGACAACAGUUGGAAACGACUGCUAAUACCGCAUACUGAAGGAGGGCAUUGCUUGCGAUUAGUUAGUUGGAGGGGUAAAGGCCCACCAAGGCGCGGAUCAGUAGCCGGUCUGAGAGGAUGAACGGCCACAUUGGGACUGAGGCACGGCCCAGACUCCUACGGGAGGCAGCAGGGGGGAAACUUCCGGAAUGGACGAAAGGCUGACGGAGCAAAGCCGCGUGAGUGAUGACGGCCUUCGGGUUGUAAAGCUCUGUUAAUCGGGACGCGGUACCGGAAUAGAAAGCCACGGCUAACUACGUGCCAGCCGCCGCGGUAAUAC
rnacentral:rRNA from 1 species